AACGAACGCUGGCGGCAGGCUUAACACAUGCAAGUCGAACGGGUGUAGCAAUACAUCAGUGGCAGACGGGUGAGUAACACGUGGGAACCUUCCUCGUUGUACGGGACAACUCAGGGAAACUUGAGCUAAUACCGUAUACGUCCGAGAGGAGAAAGAUUUAUCGCAAUGAGACGGGACCGCGUCAGAUUAGCUAGUUGGUAGGGUAACGGCCUACCAAGGCGACGGUCCGUAGCUGAUCUGAGAGGAUGAUUAGCCACACUGGGACGGCGACACGGCCCAGACGCCUACGGGAGGCAGCAGUGGGGAAUCUUGGACAAUGGGCGCAAGACUGAUACAGCGAUGCCGCGGGAGUGAAGAAGGCCUUAGGGUUGAAAAGCUCUUUUGCCAGGGACGAUAAUGACGGUACCUGGAGAAUAAGCCCCGGCAAACUUCGUGCCAGCCGCCGCCGUAACAC
rnacentral:rRNA from 1 species